GUGCCAGUAGCUCAGCUGGAUAGAGCAACUGCCUUCUAAGCAGUGGGUCGGGGGUUCGACUCCCUCCUGGCGCA
rnacentral:tRNA from 1 species